rnacentral:rRNA from 1 species
CCUACGGGGGGCAGCAGUGAGGAAUAUUGGUCAAUGGGCGAGAGCCUGAACCAGCCAAGUCGCGUGAGGGAGUACUGCCCUAUGGGUUGUAAACCUCUUUUGUCGGGGAGCAAAAGCCGGACGUGUCCGGCUGUGAGAGUACCCGAAGAAAAAGCAUCGGCUAACUCCGUGCCAGCAGCCGCGGUAAUACGGAGGAUGCGAGCGUUAUCCGGAUUUAUUGGGGUUAAAGGGGGGGCAGGCGGGUUUGUAAGUCAGCGGUCAAAUCGUGGGGCUCAACCCCAUCCAGCCGUUGAAACUGGGGAUCUAGAGUGUGCGAGAGGUAUGCGGAAUGCGUGGUGUAGCGGUGAAAUGCAUAGAUAUCACGCAGAACCCCGAUUGCGAAGGCAGCAUACCGGUGCACAACUGACGCUCAGGCACGAAAGCGUGGGUAUCGAACAGGAUUAGAUACCCGUGUAGUC